rnacentral:rRNA from 1 species
CAGUCGCCACGGUAAUACGAAGGGUGCAAGCGUUAAUCGGAAUCACUGGGCGUAAAGCGUGCGUAGGCGGUGAGUUAAGUCUGCUGUGAAAUCCCCGGGCUCAACCUGGGAAUGGCAGUGGAUACUGGCUCGCUAGAGUGUGUCAGAGGAUGGUGGAAUUCCCGGUGUAGCGGUGAAAUGCGUAGAGAUCGGGAGGAACAUCAGUGGCGAAGGCGGCCAUCUGGGACAACACUGACGCUGAGGCACGAAAGCGUGGGGAGCAGACAGGAUUAGAUACCCGUGUAGUCCCUGUCUCUUAUAC